UUACAUGUGAAUGACUCUAAGCGUGUGAGCUUUAUGGACUUAAAGCCCUAGCACUAUCCACCAUCUAGCAAGGGUGUAAAAAUGGUUUAUUAUAUGUUCAGGUCAUUUCCAGAAAAAUGGCCAAGUCCUUGAGUAAGUCCAUGAAGGUUUUAACUAAAGUCCCUUAGAUGAUAAAUUAGAAGACUUUUUGGGGGGCUAGCAAGGUGGCUCAACAGGUAAAAUGUUUGUCAUUAAGCCAAGUGACCUGAGUUUGAUCCACAAAAUCCAUAUGGUGGAGAGAACCGAUACCCCAAAAUUUUCCUCUGAUCUCUUUAUGCAAGCUGUAACAUACAGUUAAAAAAGAAGAACAUCUUUCAUGUGUAUGUGGUUAUAUGUAUAUGAUUGUAUGGAUAUAUGUGCAUGUGUACAUUUGUAUUUAGGCCAGAGGUCAACAUCAGAUAUCUUCUUCAACCACACUCCAACUUUAUCUUUAUUUUGAGUCUCUUACUGAAUUUGGUGCUUACUGAUUUGGAGGAGGUUUCAAAAUGCUCAGAUGAGAAAAUAAGCACAAAAAUUCCACUCAGGGAACUAAGACCAUCACUGCUUAGCUCCACAUCAGGACAGCUUCACGUAACAGUACUGAUAACCCCGAGAUGUCAGCUGUCUCCCAAAUGGCAGCAAGGCCAGGCAGUCUUAAGAAUCUGCAAAUGUGAGGUUGGGGAUUUAGCUCAAUGGUAGAGUGCUUGCCUAGGAAGCACAAGGCCCUGGGUUCGGUCCCCAGCUCCGGAAAAAAAGAAAAAAAAAAAAAAAAAA
rnacentral:lncRNA from 1 species